GAGAAUAUUUGUCGCAUAUGAUACCAUCGAUCGACAUCCGCUCUGGAGAAUCACGGACGAGCAUGGCAUUCCCGAAAGCUGACAAAAGUAUCCUAGGUAACUGACGAUCUAGCCUCACAGAGGUCAUCGAAAAGGGGAUGGAUUAUCCUGUCUGCUUUUCAACGAGAUACCGGAACGUGUUAUGCGAGAAGUGGGCUUCACCAUCCGGGUACGAUUCUCAACAAAUCCUUUCAGAUUAGAUACACGAAGUACCGAUAGUACGCUUAGUCCAGUCGUUUACCAAACAACCCUCCUUAUAAAGUUGGCUUAUGUUCGUCGUAACGAAAUAUAAUUCGAAGUAGUAAACUGUAAACUGCGAGCCCUGUGAUUCCGUGUAUUCGGCAGUGCAGUGAUUUUUUUUAGUGGAAAAUAUUCGACAUUACAGUGACAUUGUGGAUUUGCAUGCAAACAGUUUCAUAUCCGUGCAUAUGUUUGUUAAGCGUGGUUCUCAGGAGCAACAUUUUGCCGCAGACAUAUAAAUAAAGACAUAGGAAAAAU